UAGGGAAUCUUCCGCAAUGGACGCAAGUCUGACGCAGCAACGCCGCGUGAGUGAAGAAGGAUUUCGGUUCGUAAAACUCUGUUGUUAGAGAAGAACAGCGCAUAGAGUAACUGUUAUGCGUGUGACGGUAUCUAACCAGAAAGCCACGGCUAACUACGUGCCAGCAGCCGCGGUAAUACGUAGGUGGCAAGCGUUGUCCGGAUUUAUUGGGCGUAAAGCGAGCGCAGGCGGUCAAUUAAGUCUGAUGUGAAAGCCCCCGGCUCAACCGGGGAGGGUCAUUGGAAACUGGUUGACUUGAGUGCAGAAGAGGAGAGUGGAAUUCCAUGUGUAGCGGUGAAAUGCGUAGAUAUAUGGAGGAACACCAGUGGCGAAGGCGACUCUCUGGUCUGUAACUGACGCUGAGGCUCGAAAGCGUGGGUAGCAAACAGG
rnacentral:rRNA from 1 species